ncrna:Ruminococcaceae bacterium D16 Streptococcus sRNA SpF59 (ldcC RNA)
GGACCACUCCUGCGGGAGUUAAGGCCAUACGGACAGCCGGGUCCACUGCCGA